CACAUUGAUUCUGCCAUCACAGUUAGGUAUUGUCUAUACUGGUAUAUUGGUAUACUUAUUUCAAUGUUAUAUUGACUAUCUUUCAGAUGAGUGUCCAGAAUGCUGUUGGAGAGUGAGGCAAAACAACUUUGACUACUCCAAGGUUUUGAAAAGAAGAGUGAGAGAGGGAACAGAGGAGGUCCUCAUUUGUUGGGUUCCAUGCAAGACCUGUGGGACCAAAUGGAAAGACUCCUGGGAGCCCUCCUCCCUUCUUGAAUAAUGAAUUACAUUUUUAUUUUUAUUUUGUAUUUUCUUUUAUAAUGAAUAAAAUAACUACAAACAUAAACAAAGUUAUUG